rnacentral:rRNA from 1 species
UACGAAGGCCACAAGCGUUAUCCGGAUUUAUUGGGCGUAAAGAGUGCGUAGGAGGUCUGACGCAUUUAUUGUUAAAUUUCAUCGCUUAACGGUGGAGCUGCAAUAAAGAUGGUUAGACUAGAGUGUGCGAGAGGCUAAUAGAACUCAUGGUGUAGGGGUGAAAUCCGUUGAUAUCAUGGGGAAUACCAAAGGCGAAGGCAUUUAGCUGGCGCAUUACUGACUCUGAGGCACGAAAGCGUGGGGAG